rnacentral:rRNA from 1 species
AGCGGCGGAUGGGUGAGUAACACGUGGGGAACCUGCCCCUAAGUCUGGGAUACCAUUUGGAAACAGGUGCUAAUACCGGAUAAUAAAGCAGAUCGCAUGAUCAGCUUUUGAAAGGCGGCGUAAGCUGUCGCUAAGGGAUGGCCCCGCGGUGCAUUAGCUAGUUGGCAAGGUAACGGCUUACCAAGGCGACGAUGCAUAGCCGAGUUGAGAGACUGAUCGGCCACAUUGGGACUGAGACACGGCCCAAACUCCUACGGGAGGCAGCAGUAGGGAAUCUUCCACAAUGGACGCAAGUCUGAUGGAGCAACGCCGCGUGAGUGAAGAAGGUUUUCGGAUCGUAAAGCUCUGUUGUUGGUGAAGAAGGAUAGAGGUAGUAACUGGCCUUUAUUUGACGGUAAUCAACCAGAAAGUCACGGCUAACUACGUGCCAGCAGCCGCGGUAAUACGUAGGUGGCAAGCGUUGUCCGGAUUUAUUGGGCGUAAAGCGAGCGCAGGCGGAAAAAUAAGUCUAAUGUGAAAGCCCUCGGCUUAACCGAGGAACUGCAUCGGAAACUGUUUUUCUUGAGUGCAGAAGAGGAGAGUGGAACUCCAUGUGUAGCGGUGGAAUGCGUAGAUAUAUGGAAGAACACCAGUGGCGAAGGCGGCUCUCUGGUCUGCAACUGACGCUGAGGCUCGAAAGCAUGGGUAGCGAACAGGAUUAGAUACCCUGGUAGUCCAUGCCGUAAACGAUGAGUGCUAAGUGU